ACACACACACACACACACACACACACACACACACACACACCACGAGGGGGGCGGUUAUGACUAGUGAAGUUUUGCAAUUUUUUUUUCCUUCAGAAACCAGGAUUAUCUUGGGCUCAUUAUGUAGCCAAGAAUGACAUUCAGUUCCUUAUCCUUCUGCCUCUACAUGACAAAUUUUAGGAGUAUGGGUGUGCACCACCAUCCUGGUUUAGGUGGUACUGGGGAAUCAAACCCAGGGCCUCAUGAAUGUUAGGCAAGGGCUCUGUCACUGAGCUACAUUCCCAGCCCGGCUCUUCUUUUAUCUCUUUCCUCUUUUAUCUUUAUCUUCUUUUUAUUCCACAGCAAAUCCAUGUCCUUCGUCUGUUUCCCUUUUCGUUUGCCUCCCCCACUUUCUCCCCUCGCAUCGUCACUCUCACUCGUGCUGGUGCAGAGCCUGAAGUAGUGGUGCUAGCUUAGAGAGGAGAGAGUGCUGCUCUGGAAGAGAUGAUAGCAUGGAAAUGACUGAAGGCCUGCUCUGUGCUUGGUUUUAUGCCAUCCAUACCCUUUCCAUGUGCAAAUUCAUUUAAUAAUUAUUGCCCUAAGAACAGAGCUUAUCCACUGCGUUAUGCAUGGUUUUCUUGCUGGAAAUGGUCUUCAAAGGAUGUAUAGAAAACACCCCAAGAAACACCAACUGGAAAAGUACACAAAAGUUGGGCAUUUGACCAGCAGGUUAGAAAGAAGAAAAACGCAGCAACAGACUAGAUUCCAAGGGAAGCCUCGAGCUGAUUCUGUAAGCAAGAUCUUGUUUCGCACGUUUGAACUCUUCGGGGAAAACGUGACUUUACCGACCAUGUUAAUGGGGGAAAGUUCUAACCCUUCAAUAAUUUCAAGAAAACCAAACUAUGGCUGAGGUCAAAGGGAGGACUUGAUUUUGCAACACCAAGUAUCCCUUCUGAGGUUUCUCAAAACUGCUGUGGCUGUCCCACACAGAACUCUCUCCGUACUUCUACCACAAACACAACAGCACUAAUUCAGAGUACAUUGUAAUCUAGACCGCUUUGGGGGCUACUGCGUGGCUGAUCUCAGGGGCUCAAAUACCUGCUCUCCUCAAAUGUAAGAACAUAAAGAUCAAAUGUUCUUGAAUAUUCUGUAACACUUUUGUUAAAGAAGGUGCCAGACAGAAGUGAGGGGGAAUUUAUAGGAUUAUAUUUGACAAGUUCAUGUGUAGAGAUAAGUGACUAGCCACACCAUGUAAAAAGUUAAGCCAAUGACUAACAGUCGGGAAGCAGAUACCUGACCCACUGUUCCCCGACUGCUUUUAUGAACACCCUUCCACAGGACCAACAUCAGCUGGCAGCCAGAUCUGAGUGGCCAUGGACUGUGGUCCAUGCAAAGAAUGAGCCAAGGCAUUUCCUUAACACUUGGAAACACUUAGGGCUCUUUUCCUUCCAUUCCUGGCCAAGCUGGUUAGCAAACAGACACAGCUGGCACUGGGAAAUGGUUUGCAGCUUUAGUCACUGGCUCCAAGAAGAAGAUUAUCUGUUCAGGAUCUCCACAGAUCUGUAAGCUCAGCUCACCAGUUCCAUAUCAUCGUUCUCUGAUUCUUCCGACCGAAGAAUGAAGGUCAAAAAGACCAGAGCUGUGCUGCAGAUUACUUACCUGUCAGCAAUCUCAUAGUUCCAGGACACAGCCAGGGCAAUCAGGGACAGGAUCAGUGUCACAGGCACUGUCACAAGAAUAAGGUCACCUUAGCCAUUACCUUCAACAAGAACGUGCUGGAGAUGACUCAGUGGUCAAAGGCACUUGCCACUGAGCCUGACAACAUCAGUUUGAUGCCCAAGUCCCAUGAGAAUGAAGGAGAGAACCAACUCGAGCAAGAACUUGUUCUCUGACCUCCUUGCCAGCGCACAGACACACACACGUAACUUUAAAGGGAGAGUACUGAAGUAAACAAGACAAGGUGGCUCAUGCCUGUAAUUCCGGUGCCUGGAGGGUGGCAGUGAGAAGAUCAGAUACAAGACCUCCAGUCUUGGCUAAAUAGCAAGUCCCAAGCAAGAUGAGGCCAAAACCCCGCUCCAAGAAACAGAAACAAGACUCUGAGAGAAAGUAGUGCAUUACAAGACUCUGUCUCAAAAUCAGAAAGACAAU
rnacentral:lncRNA from 1 species